UUAGAAUCCUCAGUACUCUUGGAGGCUCAGUUCACAUUCCCUGGCCCUCUCUCUGGCUGUUAGAGCUCCACCCCUCUCCCCAAAUUACUCUUUAUUCAUUUCACAUAUCAUUUAUAUUUGUUACCUGUGUAUAUGUUUUUUUUUUCUUCCCUAAAAGCUCAUCAAGCUCAGGGAUUGUUUUCCUUUUGAGAAGUUGCAUCUCCAGGGCUUAUCCUAGGGCCUGAUAGGGAGUAGGUAACUGCUGAAAGCACGUCCCCCCAAAAGGAGACAGAAUAAGUUUUCAGCCAAUGAGAACAUUUACUGAACAAGCACAAUCCUGCCCCAUUCCAUUGCUGAGGUGAGAGUCCACAAAUAUGGAACAUUGCAGUGUGAAUGUUUCACAGGAGGAAAAAUCUGGCAGGUAAAGGUCCUCACCAUCAUCUGAACACUCGAACUGGACUUCCUUUUCUGAAUUGACCAGUCAAGGAGAGAGGAAGAGAAGAAAACGUGACCGGUUGAAUUUAAAGUUUCAAAGCAUGGAGAACAAAAAUAGCUUUGUCUUCAGCAAGAAGUUCUAUACUGCAUGGGGUGGGGGAGUUUGGUGGGGAAUGCGCUGGAAGGUGUUCAUUCUACAUAAGUUUCAUAGUCAAGUUAAGACCUCCCAGUAGUUACACGAGUCUUGCUGCUUCGCAAAAUUACACAGAAAUACUGCAAAGGACAACUAAAACCAUUGUUAGACUUUAAAGAGCUUAGGUCAUGUUAGAAAAUUCAGAUGGUAAGUGUCAUUAUUAAAAUAUACAUGGAAAACAUGAGA